GACGAACGCUGGCGGCGCGCCUAACACAUGCAAGUCGAACGGAGUCAAGAGGAGCUUGCUUUUCUUGACUUAGUGGCGAACGGGUGAGUAACGCGUGAGUAACCUGCCCUGGAGUGGGGGACAACAGUUGGAAACGACUGCUAAUACCGCAUAAGCCCACGGAUCCGCAUGGAUCUGCGGGAAAAGGAUUUAUUCGCUUCAGGAUGGACUCGCGUCCAAUUAGCUAGUUGGUGAGGUAACGGCCCACCAAGGCGACGAUUGGUAGCCGGACUGAGAGGUUGGACGGCCACAUUGGGACUGAGACACGGCCCAGACUCCUACGGGAGGCAGCAGUGGGGGAUAUUGCACAAUGGGGGAAACCCUGAUGCAGCGCCGCCGCGUGGAGGAAGAAGGUUUUCGGAUUGUAAACUCCUGUCGUUAGGGACGAUAAUGACGGUACCUAACAAGAAAGCACCGGCUAACUACGUG
rnacentral:rRNA from 1 species